GGGGGAACAAGAGAAAAAUUACAAAGAAAUUAAAAUGUCCUAGCCAAAUUCCCCCUCCCGCUCGCCCAAAUUCUCCUCCCGCUUUCUCCCAAAUACCGGUUCCCUCCAAAUUCUAUUUUUCCAUUAAAUCAUAUUCCCUCGCAUUCAUGCCCAUUUCUCCUCAGACCUCUCGUCUCUCCCUCUUGUUUCUUCUGUGAACUAUUUUCUAGGGUUUAGUUUCGUUCUUUCGCUUUCUUUGUAUCUCUAUUACUUACGUUGUUUUAAUCUUUUGUGAAGUAUCCAACUGCAAAAUGCGAGAAUCAGCAGGCAAUUGCUAUUUUGCAAAUUCAGACAUUCAACAUUCCAAAAUUCAUUCAAAACUCCUUCAGCAGGUAUGUGAAAAUUGCACUUAGAUUUUGUUCAUGAUCCUUGAAUUUGUGUGUUUGAUUCUGAUACUGUGAUUUUGCCAUCAAUGUAUUUCCCUCGCUCAACCUUAGGUUCAAACUAGUUGAAAAAUAAGACUUCUCAUUCAAACUCAUUAAGGAGAUAUGGAUAAGUGAAUGUUCUUAUUGUAGAAACGUUAUCGUGGAAAGAAAUAUUCAUUAGUUAACCAAUAAAAAAUGAAACCUUUUAUCUGUAAAGAGAUGGCAGUACCAAAUGCAACAGAUCAAGACAAUUGCAUAUAUAUUUCUCAUUGACUCAGAAAUCUACCUUCUAAUGUACCAAUCAGUUAUAGGUAAGUGUCUUCAUAGCUGAGUAGUAGAUCUACUAAUUUUUCUAAAGAUCACUUGGUAAUUUCAAUUUACGUUGUACUCUCCAGUACUUAUUUUGAUAAAAAAAAUUAAAAAAAAAAAAAACAGAUUUUAACUUAGCAGAAAGUGGGAACUACUCCUUAUAAGUUUUAUUUAAAGAGGACUUGGUUCUUUGUGUUGUGACGUGAGUCCAUAUUUAAAGGGCUGCAUAAAAUUCAUAUCGGCUUAUCCAGAUGCUCUGUUUGAAGUGCUUCACAUAUAGUCUCGCACACUGGUGGACCUAUGUAGUGUACUAUGGGUGCUUAAGCACCCAUUGCUUUUUGUGACAAACACUAUUAUUUACAUACAAAAUCUUGUAAUUAAUUCAAAUAUAUUAAAUGAACACCCACUCUAUGUAGCAAUUUCCAAACUAAAAAUAAUUAAGCACCCAUUAUAUAAAAUUUCUGGAUCCGCCACUGGUCUCGCACCCUCGCUUACGUGUCCUAGUCCAAUGUUUUUGCUAAACUGCAGAACUAUGUCAUCAGAUUUUGGGAUUUAUAAUGGAAUCUUUCAUUUUGAUGGUGUACAUUAUGACUGAGAUAGUUACAUACACAUUUUGACUCUUAUUUAUUUAAUAUAAACAACUUUUCUAGCUUAUAGUGUGCUAUGACUAAUUUGGGAAGUGGACUAAAAUUGAGUUAAAUUUACGAGUGCUUUGUGAACUAGUUGAAAUUGGAUAAAACAAAUAUUUAAAUUGUUCUAGCCAUUUUAAUUGAAAGCUAACUGGGAAUCAACUUGUAUGCUAAUGUUGCUAGUGUUACUGUACUACAGUUGUACGGGUGUCUUUCUACUUCUCAUCUGGUGUCGUUUUUUAGAGGCUUAGAAUGAGACAUUGAAUUGAUGUUCAUUUGACAUACUUCUAUUUAUGAUAUGAUAUUUUUGGGGUCCAAUAUAUCAAUUAUCAAUAUUGGUUAAGCAAGGAAAAUAUCAAUUGAGUUGAAUGACCAGAAGAUAACAAUUGUGUUGAAUGGCCAGUCUUCCAAUGUGGAGAGCUUCACCAUCUGUAAGUUGGAAGCUUAUUACAUAACAGUUGAGCCUCCUCUCAAACUGCAACUAUCCAUACGGAAAGGCGAAGAAAACAAUGGAAGAUAUAAUUCUAGAUUUUCAUAAGAACUCAAAUAUGGGUGUCAUGAUUUUGAGGUAGAUUGUUCUUGUACUCCUUUCUUUUUAGUUUCUGUUUUUCAUGUUGGUGUGAAUUGAUCCUUACCUUUCCCUUCAUUUUUUGGUUGUUUCUAUCUAUUUUUAUUUUCACAUGCUUGUUCAUGAUAUCUGGUACAUUAUUUGUUAUGUCAACCCGCUUAGUUUAUUUUCUGGUCAUCUAUCUUCUAAUUCAAAAGGCUAGCUAACUAUUUAACUUUCCUAUUACUGAAGUCUCAUGAUGAUGUUGUGAACUAACUGAUCGAAGUAUCUCUUCAGUUGUAAAUAUUUACCUUCUCAAAGAAAUGCUCUCUUCAAUUGUUUUCCAUGCCUUUUCAUUGUUCUUUACCAACUAAACUACAGGCUUGCACUUCUUUGAUGUCUGUAAAUUCAUGUAUUUUCUUGUGUUACUUUUUUUGUUGUAUGCCGAUAAAAUUACCUUCACUUUAUUUAUUUGUGAAAUCAGAACUAUUAUAUUAGAUAUUUAUUGCUAUUUAGAAAUUUUAAUUAUAUAUCUCAGGUAGAUAUGAUGUCAUAAAGCUAAAUCACUGUCUGAAUUGUUGGGCCCGAUGCUUGGCAACAAAUCAUCUUGUAUUACUAAAUAUGCAUUGAUUUGCAGGCUAAGUUUGUUAAUGUAUUGAUUUCUCUCUUUCUUUUGAAGCAGAUUGGCUGUAUUACUUGAAUUUUGGCAGCAAUUUAGUUUGUUAACUCUUUGGGUAAGCUAUGUUGUGUAAGUCUAAGUCAUAGGAUUAGGUGUAUUGAUUGGGAACAAUGAACAUAGCUGGCUCAGUGACAUCUUCCUAUGUGACUACAGCUAGAUGGAAUACAUAUCUGGAAUCAUAACUUACAUAAAUAGAUGAUGGUUUUCUUGACAAACUGAUUGCACGUGGAUUUUCCUUAUCCCCGGAACUGCUUUUUACAGAAACUGACAACAAUAUCUAGGAACAAAAAAAGGUCCCUGUCAUUCUUAUUGUGAGAACUGAUUCGACAGUCUACUUUUCCAACUCCAAUUGCAUGAAAGGCAGGUACUAGUUAUUAAACUGAAAGAAACUAAUCAAGCAAAAUUACCCGCAAGGGUGGUUCAGUUGGUUGAGCAUGGGGCUUUUAUAACGGAGGUCUCAGGUUUGAAAUCCCCUGCCUACAACAAGAGGGGAUUUGCUUUCUGGGUCGAGCUCGUCGCACGGGGCUUGUCGAGUGCGGGUUAUCUCUUCUGUGUGUUUUGCGAGCUAUUGCAUAGGAGCUGGGUUUACCCUGUGUCCACCCGAAAGGUAACGGCUACGGGUUCCCAUGUCAUAAAAAAAAAAACUAAUCAAGCAAAGGUUCGAUAGAUGAGAUGUCAAUUACUAGUACAUACUAGUGAAAUUCAUGCCUGAAAAGAUUUAUUCAAAUCCCCUGAUCAAGAAAUGAUAUGUUGAAGACAAAAUACAAUUAGACGCAAUAGAUGACGGUUAAGCUAAUCAGGAGUUGUUGUCUCAAACUUCAAUCAAGGAAGGGUGAAUUUCUUCAACAACUGGAAAUAAAGGCAGCGCAACUAAGAGUUUGAAGACAAAGUAAAAGUUUGGAGACAUAUUAUGUUAUUUUUUUGGGUUAUGCAUAUAUACUAAGAAAAUGUAUUAUAAUGUGUACUUUGUAUAUAUUAUGUUUGACUUUUUAGCAAUGAGAUAUUCUUAUAUAAUUCUAUUUUCCAGAAUCACCUGCUUAUUGUAUUAAUUAUGACAAUUUGCAGUGACAAUUUUAUUUUGUCAGUAAAAGCAAUAUUUUUGGUGA